GGGAGGAGAAACAGUAGCAAGGGCUGCUACUAUAGAGCCUCUUGAUGUGCAUGGAACUAAGGCGGAAUCCUCACAACAAAUCAUCGAGAAAAAAUUGAACUUUGAUUGCACUGAAGAGAAGACAAAGAAGAAAAAAAAGAAAUCACGAAGAUCAACUGGGGGGAAUCUAUCCCAUAUGGAGACGAAAGGUCAAAACUAUGAUGCUUUUGAACCAACAAUGAUGAGUGCCACUCACACUACUAAUGAGCAUACCACGUACACGAAGCCCAUGAAAGUUCCGUCACAUACAUCCGAAGGCAAUAAUGAGGGUGACCCUUCUCAAUCCAUCACUAAGGUGGAUCUCCUCAGUGGUGACCGCUUAGAUAAAGGAGAAAACAAUAUGUCUCAAGCCAGUGAAGGAGAAACGAUAGUGAGGACAGCUAUCGUGGAGCCUCUUGAUGUUCAUGAAACUAAGGUGGAAUCCUCACAACAAAUCACUGAGAAGGUAAAUUUUGAAAAUACUGAAGAGAAGAAGACAAAGAAGAGAAGAAAGAAAUCAGGAAGAUCAACCGUGGAGAAUCUACCCAGUGUAGAAGUGAGAGAUCAAAGUCCAACACUAAUGAUACACUACUCAUUAGUGCGACCGUGGAUGAGACUGCUAAUGGGCAUAUUAGUUACAUGAAGCCCAUGGAAGCUCCAUCACACACAUCUGAAGGAAAUAAUGAGGGUGACCCUGCUCAAUCAAUUUUGAAUGUG